GCUUGGGUGGCUCAGUGGUUGAGCAUCUGCCUUCAGCUCAGGGCGUGAUCCCAGGGUCUUGGGAUCGAGUCCCACAUCAGGCU
rnacentral:tRNA from 1 species